GGUCCUCACAAAACUGCACUGUUAUUGAGAUGGGAUUGUUUCAGUGCACUGUGACGAUUGCGGCUGUGAACCACUUUUUAAGGAUAGUUCCGUCAUGUAUAGAAAAACGGAUAAGAAUGCGCGGGAAAUUGUCGAAGCAAGCUUGAUUGCAGAAGAGGGCGCUAACUACGUCAGCGCCCCGUCGAUUAUUUUGAGCAGAACAGAAAUUGCCUAUCUG
rnacentral:lncRNA from 1 species